AUUUUGGAGCCGAGAAAAAUAAAGUCUGACACUGUUUCCACUGUUUCCCCCAUCUAUUUGCAUAAUCAAGUAUAGUGCAAUAAAACAAAAUAUACCUGCAGUGUUCGCAGUCUUUCUGAUCACAGUAGGAGAUCAGUAAAUGGAAACCUAUUACCACCACUACCCUCACUGCUGAGACCACUACUGUUUGGCUGAACCCAGCAGGUUUUAUGGCUGCCCAGCCUCAAGACAAAAGAACAGCUCAGGGACAGUGACAAACAUCCAUGGUUUAGUAGAUGGGGGAUCUUAUACAUCAGGAGCAAGUCCUGGAGCUAUGCUCCAGUAUGCCUGGCAGGCAGCAAGCAGGACAUAGCUGUUUUCACUAUUAAAGGAGGCUAUGAUUUUUUGAAGGAAUUGGUAUUAGCUUGGCUCAUCAGCUACCAAGGAAAGCAGCUCCCAGGACACAUUCCCAGCCCCUCAAGUUAAUGACCAUCACUAGGUAAGGUGUUUCCUUUUAGUAAUUCAGGAGGUGGAGCCAUUCUGACUUAAGGGCUAGGGGGCAAGCACAUUCAUGUGAGCAUGGUGUAGGUGAAGCAGGGACUGGUUGAGCAGGGGACAUACGGGGCAAGAGAAGAGCCAUUUUGAGAGACCUGACCUAACACUCACCGCAACGUACCCUGCACAACCCUUAUAAUUGUGUUUUUCCCUUCUUCCAUGGAGGGGGUCAGGUGUGUAGAGGUGGACUGCAACCAAAUAUCACAAAUGCAANNNNNNNNNNNNNNNNNAAAGAAGAUCAAGAACAAAAGUUGGCAAUGGUCCUUCCCCAGUGGAACUUGGAUUGUGUUGACGAGUUGCCAUGCACUAGGACUAUUUCUCCAAGGAUGAGUCCGUAUUUUGAGAGAACAGGUUUCCCAUCUCAAUUUUUGUCGAAGUAUCCUGGCAGCAGUGGAUUAUAAGGUAGGUGGAAAUGGCAAAGUAUGCCACUUUUAUUAUUAUUAUUAUUAUAGUUGCUUUACAAUGUUGUGCAAUUUUCUGCUGUCCUGCAAAGUAAAUUAGCUAUAUAUAUACAUAUAUCACUUCCCUCUUGAAUCUCCCUCCUAUGCCCACCUCCAAC
rnacentral:lncRNA from 1 species